rnacentral:rRNA from 1 species
AGGAAUAUUGGUCAAUGGGCGCGAGCCUGAACCAGCCAAGUAGCGUGAAGGAUGAAGGUCCUACGGAUUGUAAACUUCUUUUAUAAGGGAAUAAAGUCACCCACGUGUGGGUGUUUGUAUGUACCUUAUGAAUAAGCAUCGGCUAACUCCGUGCCAGCAGCCGCGGUAAUACGGAGGAUGCGAGCGUUAUCCGGAUUUAUUGGGUUUAAAGGGAGCGUAGACGGGCCGUUAAGUCAGCUGUGAAAGUUUGAGGCUCAACCUUAAAAUUGCAGUUGAUACUGGCGUCCUUGAGUACGGUUGAGGCAGGCGGAAUUCGUGGUGUAGCGGUGAAAUGCUUAGAUAUCACGAAGAACCCCGAUUGCGAAGGCAGCCUGCUAAACCGCCACUGACGUUGAGGCUCGAAAGUGUGGGUAUCAAACAGGAUUAGAUACCCUGGUAGUCCACACGGUAAACGAUGGAUACUCGCUGUUGGCGAUAGACUGUCAGCGGCUUAGCGAAAGCGUUAAGUAUCCCACCUGGGGAGUACGCCGGCAACGGUGAAACUCAAAGGAAUUGACGGGGGCCCGCACAAGCGGAGGAACAUGUGGUUUAAUUCGAUGAUACGCGAGGAACCUUACCCGGGCUUGAAUUGCAACUGAAUGAUGUGGAGACAUGUCAGCCGCAAGGCAGUUGUGAAGGUGCUGCAUGGUUGUCGUCAGCUCGUGCCGUGAGGUGUCGGCUUAAGUGCCAUAACGAGCGCAACCCUUAUCGAUAGUUACCAUCAGGUUAUGCUGGGGACUCUGUCGAGACUGCCGUCGUAAGAUGUGAGGAAGGUGGGGAUGACGUCAAAUCAGCACGGCCCUUACGUCCGGGGCUACACACGUGUUACAAUGGGGGGUACAGCAGGCAGCUACCGGGCGACCGGAUGCCAAUCCCGAAAGCCUCUCUCAGUUCGGACUGGAGUCUGCAACCCGACUCCACGAAGCUGGAUUCGCUAGUAAUCGCGCAUCGGCCACGGCGCGGUGAAUACGUUCCCG